GGUUAAGCGACUAAGCGUACACGGUGGAUGCCCUGGCAGUCAGAGGCGAUGAAGGACGUGCUAAUCUGCGAUAAGCGUCGGUAAGGUGAUAUGAACCGUUAUAACCGGCGAUUUCCGAAUGGGGAAACCCAGUGUGAUUCGUCACACUAUCAUUAACUGAAUCCAUAGGUUAAUGAGGCGAACCGGGGGAACUGAAACAUCUAAGUACCCCGAGGAAAAGAAAUCAACCGAGAUUCCCCCAGUAGCGGCGAGCGAACGGGGAGCAGCCCAGAGCCUGAAUCAGUGUGUGUGUUAGUGGAAGCGUCUGGAAAGGCGUGCGAUACAGGGUGACAGCCCCGUACACAAAAAUGCACAUGCUGUGAGCUCGAUGAGUAGGGCGGGACACGUGGUAUCCUGUCUGAAUAUGGGGGGACCAUCCUCCAAGGCUAAAUACUCCUGACUGACCGAUAGUGAACCAGUACCGUGAGGGAAAGGCGAAAAGAACCCCGGCGAGGGGAGUGAAAAAGAACCUGAAACCGUGUACGUACAAGCAGUGGGAGCACGCUUAGGCGUGUGACUGCGUACCUUUUGUAUAAUGGGUCAGCGACUUAUAUUCUGUAGCAAGGUUAACCGAAUAGGGGAGCCGAAGGGAAACCGAGUCUUAACUGGGCGUUAAGUUGCAGGGUAUAGACCCGAAACCCGGUGAUCUAGCCAUGGGCAGGUUGAAGGUUGGGUAACACUAACUGGAGGACCGAACCGACUAAUGUUGAAAAAUUAGCGGAUGACUUGUGGCUGGGGGUGAAAGGCCAAUCAAACCGGGAGAUAGCUGGUUCUCCCCGAAAGCUAUUUAGGUAGCGCCUCGUGAAUUCAUCUCCGGGGGUAGAGCACUGUUUCGGCAAGGGGGUCAUCCCGACUUACCAACCCGAUGCAAACUGCGAAUACCGGAGAAUGUUAUCACGGGAGACACACGGCGGGUGCUAACGUCCGUCGUGAAGAGGGAAACAACCCAGACCGCCAGCUAAGGUCCCAAAGUCAUGGUUAAGUGGGAAACGAUGUGGGAAGGCCCAGACAGCCAGGAUGUUGGCUUAGAAGCAGCCAUCAUUUNNNNNNNNNNNNNNNNNNNNNNNNNNNNNNNNNNNNNNNNNNNNNNNNNNNNNNNNNNNNNNNNNNNNNNNNNNNNNNNNNNNNNNNNNNNNNNNNNNNNNNNNNNNNNNNNNNNNNNNNNNNNNNNNNNNNNNNNNNNNNNNNNCAUGCUGGAGGUAUCAGAAGUGCGAAUGCUGACAUAAGUAACGAUAAAGCGGGUGAAAAGCCCGCUCGCCGGAAGACCAAGGGUUCCUGUCCAACGUUAAUCGGGGCAGGGUGAGUCGACCCCUAAGGCGAGGCCGAAAGGCGUAGUCGAUGGGAAACAGGUUAAUAUUCCUGUACUUGGUGUUACUGCGAAGGGGGGACGGAGAAGGCUAUGUUGGCCGGGCGACGGUUGUCCCGGUUUAAGCGUGUAGGCUGGUUUUCCAGGCAAAUCCGGAAAAUCAAGGCUGAGGCGUGAUGACGAGGCACUACGGUGCUGAAGCAACAAAUGCCCUGCUUCCAGGAAAAGCCUCUAAGCAUCAGGUAACAUCAAAUCGUACCCCAAACCGACACAGGUGGUCAGGUAGAGAAUACCAAGGCGCUUGAGAGAACUCGGGUGAAGGAACUAGGCAAAAUGGUGCCGUAACUUCGGGAGAAGGCACGCUGAUAUGUAGGUGAAGUCCCUCGCGGAUGGAGCUGAAAUCAGUCGAAGAUACCAGCUGGCUGCAACUGUUUAUUAAAAACACAGCACUGUGCAAACACGAAAGUGGACGUAUACGGUGUGACGCCUGCCCGGUGCCGGAAGGUUAAUUGAUGGGGUCAGCGCAAGCGAAGCUCUUGAUCGAAGCCCCGGUAAACGGCGGCCGUAACUAUAACGGUCCUAAGGUAGCGAAAUUCCUUGUCGGGUAAGUUCCGACCUGCACGAAUGGCGUAAUGAUGGCCAGGCUGUCUCCACCCGAGACUCAGUGAAAUUGAACUCGCUGUGAAGAUGCAGUGUACCCGCGGCAAGACGGAAAGACCCCGUGAACCUUUACUAUAGCUUGACACUGAACAUUGAGCCUUGAUGUGUAGGAUAGGUGGGAGGCUUUGAAGUGUGGACGCCAGUCUGCAUGGAGCCGACCUUGAAAUACCACCCUUUAAUGUUUGAUGUUCUAACGUUGACCCGUAAUCCGGGUUGCGGACAGUGUCUGGUGGGUAGUUUGACUGGGGCGGUCUCCUCCUAAAGAGUAACGGAGGAGCACGAAGGUUGGCUAAUCCUGGUCGGACAUCAGGAGGUUAGUGCAAUGGCAUAAGCCAGCUUGACUGCGAGCGUGACGGCGCGAGCAGGUGCGAAAGCAGGUCAUAGUGAUCCGGUGGUUCUGAAUGGAAGGGCCAUCGCUCAACGGAUAAAAGGUACUCCGGGGAUAACAGGCUGAUACCGCCCAAGAGUUCAUAUCGACGGCGGUGUUUGGCACCUCGAUGUCGGCUCAUCACAUCCUGGGGCUGAAGUAGGUCCCAAGGGUAUGGCUGUUCGCCAUUUAAAGUGGUACGCGAGCUGGGUUUAGAACGUCGUGAGACAGUUCGGUCCCUAUCUGCCGUGGGCGCUGGAGAACUGAGGGGGGCUGCUCCUAGUACGAGAGGACCGGAGUGGACGCAUCACUGGUGUUCGGGUUGUCAUGCCAAUGGCACUGCCCGGUAGCUAAAUGCGGAAGAGAUAAGUGCUGAAAGCAUCUAAGCACGAAACUUGCCCCGAGAUGAGUUCUCCCUGACUCCUUGAGAGUCCUGAAGGAACGUUGAAGACGACGACGUUGAUAGGCCGGGUGUGUAAGCGCAGCGAUGCGUUGAGCUAACCGGUACUAAUGAACCGUGAGGCUUAACCUU
rnacentral:rRNA from 1 species